GGCCCUUAUGCAUGGCUGGCUCUCUAACCAAGCUGCUGGGAGCUAAAGGCCUCUCCGGCUUUGGGAAAUGCUGACAGGCAGGAGAUAAAAGGGCAAAGGGCGGCAGGACAUAGACAACAGCAGCCAUCCUGUCCUCUCCUCCCCACCUGGCUUCUACCACUGGCUCAGAGGAAGUCAUCUUAGCUCUGGGGUGGCUAGACCGCUCCCACCAGCCUGUCUUAUACAGAUUAGUUUUACAGGGCCUUGUUUAAACACCUACACCAGGGUGAGGGGCCCCAAGUAAAAAUACCCGAAAGGAAAACACCCAAUGGAAAGAAAUAUCUGGCUGGAUAUUGUUACAUUCUCCUAUAACCAAGAAAGGUUACAUUCUUUAAGAAAUGUAUUUUCCAGCUGCCUCCCUUUUCCUUAUAUCAUUUUUAUAUGGAAAGGAGGAUGGAGUCCAGGCCUUGUGGUAAAUUUAGCGAUGGACGAUGUAAACUGCCCAGGUUUUUUGAGUCUUAGUUUAGAUUUAGUUCUAUUUAUUAUUUAUAGGACCUUAAGGAGGAAAAAAUCUCAAGUAUCCAUUUGCUUAUCUAUAAAAUGAAGACAAAAGCAAUAUGUAAUUCACAGACUUGUCUGGUAUUACAGAUGGAACUAUAAAUAAAUGAUUUGAAACCGUAAGUUCUACACACAGGCUGUCACUAACCACUGCACCUUAUUACAAUAAACUUUCGUAAAGAAGACUCUUGCCUUUUAUUUCUCCGUGCAGUUUGAACAGUAUCAGUGCUAUUCCCUGGCAAGGGGGGAUUAUUAUAGCUAGAGCUCUAUGGUCUGAUACUAAAUCGGUCCCUACUGCCGAGUGAUUCUAACAUGCUUGAGACCCUACCAGAAUUUUAUCUCAGAUUUAUUGAAAGGGCAAGAUGAACUGAGACUAGUAAUAGCCAGAGGGGGAAAAAGAAACAUCUGGAAAAGAUCAGUGCUGUAGGGCCUACAGGAACUGAGCAUGCCUGGAAAAGAAUAGCAGGCUGUACCCUGCUGAAAACUGCUUUCCUGUGCCCCACGUCCUAGAGCUGCUGGGACAGACAACCUAUGCUCAGUAAUCUUAUAUUCAUGGCGGACACAAAGGAUGGCAAUGCACUUGGCCUUGCCUGUCCUUCUGAGGAAUCAUUCUGCCCCUCCCUACCCUACAGCAUCUGGCUUUGCCUUCCCCCUUCCCCUUCUCCCGGCCAGAUGUCCAUAGAUGUCCACCUGGGCCUCUGAGGAAGCUCGCCACAGCUGUUUGCUACACAAAUGAGAUACCUUCUGUGGAUCUAUAGCUGGAGAGAAACAGCACCUUUUGAAGGUGAGGUGGCAAUUAUGCAAAUCAAAGCAGCCCAGCUUCACAUCCAUUGGCUCCAAGCAGAAAGACUUUCUUCUUUCAGAAAAUGCCCCCUUUAUGUCAUACUUAUUAAAUGUCCUUUCACAAAUCUGAGUAUGUGCAACCCCACCCCCACCCCCAGUUCUGUUAAGUAAAAGUCCAUAAUACCCUGCUUGUUUUUACAUUGGUUCACAAAAAGUCCUUCAGCCCAGGCCAGGUUAGUCAAGGAGAACGUGUGCUGAAUGAACAGUUUAAAGGUCACUAUGGCAGCCUGGUAAUCAAUUUAGCAUCCUGUUAACAGCCCUGCAGAUCUUUGAACAUUCACCAGGAUCCUUGAGAAACCUCCAGAGAAGUUUUUUUUUUUUUUUUAUUCAAAUGGAGUCUGACAGUCGCUUUAGGGAAGAGUGUUCUGAUGCAGCUCAAGAGCAAUGCCCAGGCCCUUUAAGACUGGACAGGGUGAGCACUAUAGCCAUCGGCGUGACCUCAAAGCCAUGUGCCCUAGGCAGGCAAACCAGUCUUUUCAUGCCUCCAACUUGCAAAACCAUGACAGCUGAUAGCUGGCUCUCUAUGUGAUUCUCAUUCUCUCUCUCUCUCUCUCUCUCUCUCUCUCUCUCUCUCUCUCUCUCUCUCACACACACACACACACACACACACACACAUAGCCUUAUACUACUUUAAGUGACGACUUAGUGUUGAUUUUCUUAAGCUUUUACUCAAAGACAGUUGGGCUAGCCAGUGACUAAUGCUCUAAUACGCCACACAGUGAUCUGCACUGCCUAUAAGAUCUAUUCGCUUUUUGUCUUUUGGAGAUGGGGGUUCAUGGAUCCCAGGCUGGUUAGGAAUUUGUAUAUGGUCAAGGAUAACCUUGAACUUCUGAUUUCUUCUGCUUUCACCCCCCAACGUGCUGGAUUAGAGGCUUGCACCACCAUGUCUUGUUUAGGUGGGGCUGGGGAUUGAACCCAGUGCUUCAUGGGUUCGAGGUUAACUCUCUACCAGCUAAGCUGUCUCCCCAGUCCCCCACUGAGUCUUGUAUGACUAAGAAACAGUUCAGUGUCCUUACCUGAGCAAUAAGCUCAGAAUUCAUACUAACCAUCCAUUAUAGAUCACCUAAUUCAAAGUAGCAACUAAAUGGGCAACAUUUCCCAUCUAGAAAAGGGCAUACUUACAUCUACGUUCAUUCCUACCCCUGUGCAGGUAUAUACUGUCUGUAUCACGGUGGGAGAAUUCAAGCACUGCAAAGGUUCUGUGGUUUAUCCAUUCCUCCAGGCAUUUCCCACUAUUUAUACAAGUCACAUAUAAGUGGGUCUUCUCUAGCUAGAACUUCCUUCUACAGUUUUGAUAGUUCUGGACCAUGGAUUAAAUCCAUUCCUUACAAGGCACCUGGUUCUAUGAAAAAAAAUGUAUUAAUGCCAACCCAUCUAAACUAAAUCUUAAUAAGUCAACUAAAUCUCAUGCAACAGGACAAGUCUCUUAAAUUAUGUUCUAAUGAUGCUACUUUUCAAAGAAAAGAGGAAGUGGCUGUAACCUGGGCUUUGGGCCCUUUGGCUCACAGAGACUCAGGUGCUUCAGAGGAACAAGGUGGGUCAGAGAAGUUUCAGUUCAGAAGGCUGGCAAGCAGAAGUGGGAAGAGCUGGUGUGACUGCUCAGAAGCAUCAUGCUAUCCCAUACUCCAGCAGACUCAAGGAGGGUCUGGAUCUGCAGGGGAGAACGGGCUCCUCUGUCACCUGCUCCUGCACUGGCUUCUACUGGCUAUGGGAAUAAGGGACUAAGGAAAUAAAACCAUGGAAAUGAGGAGAUUAAAAACUAUUGACAGUGGGGUUGGGGAUUUAGCUCAGUGGUAGAGCGCUUGCCUAGGAAGCGCAAGGCCCUGGGUUCGGUUCCCAGCUCUGCAAAAAAAAAAAAAAAAAACUAUUGACAGCGUGACCAAAGCUUCUCAUGGAGCUAUCAAUAGUUUUUAUUUCUGCUUGGGAUCAGGACGCUGAAUCUGAACAUGGUCACAGAAUGGCUGUUUACAAAGUAUUCUCAGGCUAUCCUCAAAUUUUCUAUUACCUGUCUGCAAAAACUCCCAUGAUCUGUGUAUAAAACUGACCUUAGUUUACCCUGUUCUGAAAUACGGAAAAGAUCUUUUCCUUGGUCCCCUGUGCUUGGGCUUUGGACCUUUCAUCCUCUCCCUUCACACACAGAUACACUCACAUCCAAUCCUCUAAAACACAGGAAAGCCUCUCUGGGCAUCGUCUACAGUUCUCACUGCCCAGGAUGCCAGCUCUCUGUGUGUAACAGUGGAGGACACUUACGGACAUUCAGAGAAGAGUAAACGUGUGUGUCAUAUGACCUUAUACAUCGAUGUGUUUGACGAGUCGAUAGGUAACUUUGGGGAGUUAGAACACAAGUGCCUAAAUUAAUAAAGGCUGUAGAAGUGUGGAAGUGGGAAGGGAAAGGUACUGGUCACCAGAUUCUGGGAGCGUGUAGCUAUGGGUAAAUUCCAUUCAGAUUUUCAAUGACAGUUCCAGCAAAUCUUACAUAAUCAUUAAUGUUCUGGGUGUGAGCGAAUAGUUCUGAGGGAGGAGGAAGAAGCAAUGACACGGAGGUGCGCGCUGGCAGGCAGACAGCCAGCCAUGCAUCUGGCACACACUUGUUUCCUAGGAAUCCAUUGUUUGUUUCUGUUUCUCUCCUAAGAUAUCACCCUUGCUACAAAGUUUCGAGGAGACGCACGCACCAGGCUGGAAACUAUCUGAAAGCCUAAGAGAGACCCCCUUGCACUGGCUGGCUGAUUGUCGCUGCAAGCAAUCUGAGAUGCUUAUGCAACCUCCCAGUGCUGAUGGCCUGCACACAUCUGUGAUCCAUUACUGCGAAGCGUUCAGAAGCCAGGGCUCUACUUGGGACCUGCAGAUCAUCUCUUCUCUCUACCUUGUGUUCACUUUGAGGGUCUAGAGAACUAUGCCAAGACAGGCUGAGUGGCGAGCCCUGAAGGACUGCAUUGAGCAGAGAAGAUCGGUUUGUUUAUUUGUUUGUUUCUUGCAAGUUUCUGAAUCAAAUUUGAAAUCCCGAAUGCUCCACAUGUGGAAGUCUGAACUAGACUCUUACUCAGUCUGAGAUCUGUUUGGCAGUUUAACCUAUGCCCAGUUGUCACAUUCUGAUUCUUUGAUGUCAGAUUUCAGACAAGAACAGAACCUAGGAGGUUCUGACCAGGUGCCAAGUAGUCACAGUUUAAGAGACAGAAGAGGCUUGUGGAGAAACUCCGGGAUGGAUGGAUGGGUGGACUUUCCAGGUGCAGUGGCCAAGGCUGACACGGACAGACAAACUUAGCAGGCUGUAAAAUGUGAGCUGAAGCGGAACUUAUCCAAACAGGGCAAAAGGAGAGGCUCCUUUUCUGGUGUGGAUCAGGACUUUUUCCACUUGAAUAGGUCAGUUUCUGAAACCAGUUUAUUUGGCCAGUCCCUGAAGAAGAGCUAUGGAAUAUGUGUCAGUUGCACCUCAGAGCAUGGGGUGCGUGUUCUGUCAAGCACCCCAUCCGAACCGUGUACAUGCUACAGAAUGUAUUAUCAAACCCAUGCAUUUUGUAGGGGAAAAAAAGGGUAAAAAUCAUUAACUUUCUCAACCUGAAAUCUAUUUCCACUGACUUUUUAAAAACUACUGAAUUCAGCAAGCUCCCCUUACAUGCCAUUUAAUUUUUUUUCAAUUUCAGCUAUGAUUGGCCAGAUGCAAAUAGUAAUGACAUAGCACCUGGGGCACUGUCCACCCUAAUUUUAUCUUGGAAAACACAGUGAUGCAGACCUGAGAAUUCUGUCCUCUCCUGACCACUCUCUGCACCUCUGCCUGACCUUUGACCCUGGUAACCCUUAUGCAGGAAAAGUCAGUGAUACAUUUGAGACUAUGUAGUUUUUGAAAAGUUUUUGAAAAGUUGUUAGAUAUGCUUGACCAAUGGCUCAGUAGUAAAAGGUGCUCGCUACCAAGCCCUGGAGUUCACAUGGUGGAAGGAGAGAACUGACUCCCUCACACUGUCCUCUGACCUUCACGUGUAUGUGUGUGUGUGUGUGUGUGUGUGUGUGUGUGUGUGUGUGUGUGUGUGUGCGCGCGCGCGCGCGCCUUAAAUAAAUGUGAAAUGAAGAAAGAACGACCAUCAAAACGUUGAGAGGGAAUAACGGCAAAUCUUCAUGUAGCGUACUGUGAUGUUUUAGUACACUGUAUGUUGAUCAACACAAGGCACUUGGAUCCCUCAUCCUUGUCAACAUUUUCAUUCCUUUGUAUUAAGAACAUUCAAAAUAAAAUUUUAAAAAGAACA